rnacentral:lncRNA from 1 species
ACAGAACUACAGAGGUCCGGCACUCUUUUCUAAUUUGCUAAGAAAACUAAAGAUUGAUUAUGAAGAGGAAAGGAAUGAUAAAGGAUUCCUUUAACCUGCAGAGGAGGAAACAGAUUUUCCAGCUGGAAAUCAGCAAGAACUCUGGGUCAACUCAGGUGCAAAGAUGAAAAGUGAGAAUGAAAAUGAGAAAAAAAUCAAUAGAACAG